CAAUUAAGCUCUAUAUAAAUAUAGGUAUAUUAAUUGAUGUUUGAGUUCCAAGUCAACCAUUAAUGGCAGCCUCCUCCUUGUGGAAUCAUCCCGCCGGCCCCCAAAACCAUUCACUUCUGGGCCCCAACCUUCAAAUGGGGUUUAAACAAUAGCAAACGUUGCAGAUUUUAGUAAGCCACAUGAAAGCAUCUCAUAUCCUCAACAAAUAGGUAUGCUACGCGUUUAUAAUUCUUGUCAAUUUAAUUAAAUACUUAAAAAAGAAUGAUGUCUUUUAUAGCUCUUGCUGCUUCUGGACUCAUAUGGGCUCGUUACACUACUAUAGUUACCCCGGGAUUUGUCAACUUGCCCGCAAGUCUUGGAUUACUGAUCCCAAAAAUACGCUGCAAGAUGUGUGACAGCCAUCAGUAGAAUUUGAUGCAGAAUCACAGAUGGACCCUUUGUGUCAAACGAGAAUAUGUACAUGUAUAAAACAUUAUUAAAGUCAGAACAUGAAUUCUGUUGAAUAGUUCAAAAAGGGUUAUUAAACUCAUAAACUCAGA